AACGAACGCUGGCGGCAUGCCUAACACAUGCAAGUCGAACGAGACCUUCGGGUCUAGUGGCGCACGGGUGCGUAACGCGUGGGAACCUGCCCUUAGGUUCGGAAUAACUCCCCGAAAGGGGUGCUAAUACCGGAUAAUGUCUUCGGACCAAAGAUUUAUCGCCUUUGGAUGGGCCCGCGUUGGAUUAGCUAGUUGGUAGGGUAAAAGCCUACCAAGGCGACGAUCCAUAGCUGGUCUGAGAGGAUGAUCAGCCACACUGGGACUGAGACACGGCCCAGACUCCUACGGGGGGCAGGAGGGGGGAAUAUUGGAAAAGGGGCGAAAGCCUGAUCCAGCAAUGCCGGGUGAGUGAUGAAGGCCUUGGGGUUGUAAAGCUCUUUUACCCGGGAUGAUAAUGACAGUACCGGGAGAAUAAGCCCCGGCUAACUCCGU
rnacentral:rRNA from 1 species